GACGAACGCUGGCGGCGUGCCUAAUACAUGCAAGUAGAACGCUGAAGCUUGGUGCUUGCACCGAGCGGAUGAGUUGCGAACGGGUGAGUAACGCGUAGGUAACCUGCCUGGUAGCGGGGGAUAACUAUUGGAAACGAUAGCUAAUACCGCAUAAUAGUAGAUGUUGCAUGACAUUUGCUUAAAAGGUGCAAUUGCAUCACUACCAGAUGGACCUGCGUUGUAUUAGCUAGUUGGUGAGGUAACGGCUCACCAAGGCAACGAUACAUAGCCGACCUGAGAGGGUGAUCGGCCACACUGGGACUGAGACACGGCCCAGACUCCUACGGGAGGCAGCAGUAGGGAAUCUUCGGCAAUGGACGGAAGUCUGACCGAGCAACGCCGCGGGAGUGAAGAAGGGUUUCGGAUCGUAAAGCUCUGUUGUAAGAGAAGAACGAGUGUGAGAGUGGAAAGUUCACACUGUGACGGUAUCUUACCAGAAAGGGACGGCUAACUACGUG
rnacentral:rRNA from 1 species